rnacentral:rRNA from 1 species
UACGGAGGGGGCUAGCGUUGUUCGGAAUUACUGGGCGUAAAGCGCACGUAGGCGGCUUUGUAAGUUAGAGGUGAAAGCCCGGGGCUCAACCCCGGAAUAGCCUUUAAGACUGCAUCGCUUGAACACGGGAGAGGUGAGUGGAAUUCCGAGUGUAGAGGUGAAAUUCGUAGAUAUUCGGAAGAACACCAGUGGCGAAGGCGGCUCACUGGACCGUUGUUGACGCUGAGGUGCGAAAGCGUGGGGAGCAAAC